rnacentral:rRNA from 1 species
UGGCGCCCCGCUCAGGACGACCCGCUGGCGGCGUGCUUAAGACAUGCAAGUCGAACGAUGAACCUCUUCGGAGGGGAUUAGUGCAACGCGGACGGGCGCUGACGUAACGCGUGGGCAAUCUGCCCUGCACUCUGGGACAAGCGCCUGGGACCGGGGUCUAAUGCACCGGAUAGGUACACAUCUCGGGCAUCCGAUUGUCGGUACCGGAAAGCUGCGGCGGUGCAGGAUAAGAGGGGCUCGCGGCCUCUCACGCUUGUUGGUGGGGUGAUGGCCUACCAAGGCGACGACGGGUAGCCGGCCUGAGAGGGCGACCGGCCACACUGGGACUGAGACACGGCCCAGACUCCUACGGGAGGCAGCAGUGGGGAAUAUUGCACAAUGGGCGGAAGCCUGAUGCAGCGACGCCGCGUGAGGGAUGACGGCCUUCGGGUUGUAAACCUCUUUCAGCAGGGAAGAAGCGUGAGUGACGGUACCUGCAGAAGAAGCACCGGCUAACUACGUGCCAGCAGCCGCGGUAAUACGUAGGGUGCGAGCGUUGUCCGGAAUUAUUGGGCGUAAAGAGCUCGUAGGCGGCUUGUCGCGUCGGAUGUGAAAGCCCGGGGCUUAACCCCGGGUCUGCAUUCGAUACGGGCAGGCUAGAGUUCGGUAGGGGAGAUCGGAAUUCCUGGUGUAGCGGUGAAAUGCGCAGAUAUCAGGAGGAACACCGGUGGCGAAGGCGGAUCUCUGGGCCGAUACUGACGCUGAGGAAGCGAAAGCGUGGGGAGCGAACAGGAUUAGAUACCCUGGUAGUCCACGCCCGUAAACGUUGGGAACUAGGUGUUGGGUGGCAUUCCACGUCGUCCGUGCCGCAGCUAACGCAUUAAGUUCCCCGCCUGGGGAGUACGGCCGCAAGGCUAAAAACUCAAAGGAAAUUGACGGGGGCCCGC